GCCUACGGGACGCAGCAGUAGGGAAUUUUCGUCAAUGGGCGCAAGCCUGAACGAGCGAUGCCGCGUGAGUGAAGAAGGCCUUCGGGUCGUAAAGCUCUGUUGCGGGGGAAAAAAGGCAGCAUCAGGAAAUGGGUGCUGACUGAUGGUGCCCCGCCAGAAAGUCACGGCUAACUACGUGCCAGCAGCCGCGGUAAUACGUAGGUGGCGAGCGUUAUCCGGAAUGAUUGGGCGUAAAGGGGGCGCAGGCGGUCCUGCAAGGCUGGAGUGAAACGCAUGAGCUCAACUUAGGGCUGGCUUUGGAAACU
rnacentral:rRNA from 1 species